rnacentral:rRNA from 1 species
GGAAUAUUGGUCAAUGGAGGGAACUCUGAACCAGCCAUGCCGCGUGCAGGAUGACUGCCCUAUGGGUUGUAAACUGCUUUUGUCAGGGAAUAAACCUUUCCACGUGUGGGAAGCUGAAUGUACCUGAAGAAUAAGGAUCGGCUAACUCCGUGCCAGCAGCCGCGGUAAUACGGAGGAUCCAAGCGUUAUCCGGAUUUAUUGGGUUUAAAGGGUGCGUAGGCGGUCCUAUAAGUCAGUGGUGAAAGACGGCAGCUUAACUGUCGCAGUGCCUUUGAUACUGUAGGACUUGAAUCUAUUUGAAGUGGGCGGAAUAAGACAAGUAGCGGUGAAAUGCAUAGAUAUGUCUUAGAACUCCGAUUGCGAAGGCAGCUCACUAAGUUAGUAUUGACGCUGAUGCACGAAAGCGUGGGGAUCAAACAGGAUUAGAUACCCUAG